rnacentral:rRNA from 1 species
UGGGGAAUAUUGCACAAUGGGGGAAACCCUGAUGCAGCGACGCCGCGUGAGCGAAGAAGGCUUUCGAGUCGUAAAGCUCUGUCCUAGGAGAAGAUAAUGACGGUAUCAUAGGAGGAAGCCCUGGCUAAAUACGUGCCAGCAGCCGCGGUAAUACGUAUGGGGCGAGCGUUGUCCGGAAUUAUUGGGCGUAAAGGGUACGUAGGUGGUUUUUUAAGUCAGGUGUCAAAGCGUGGAGCUUAACUCCAUUAAGCACUUGAAACUGAAAGACUUGAGUGCAGGAGAGAAAAGUGGAAUUCCUAGUGUAGCGGUGAAAUGCGUAGAGAUUAGGAGGAACACCGGUGGCGAAAGCGGCUUUUUGGCCUGCAACUGACACUGAGGCGCGAAAGCGUGGGGAGCAAACAGG